rnacentral:lncRNA from 1 species
AAAAAAAAAGGAAAAAUACUUGCUUGUCGUUCUCCUGCACUCGAGGCAGACCACUGAUGGGUAUUUGUUGAAGGGAGACAAUUUCAGAACUGAUUUCAGCUUUCCUCUAAUCCGAACCUGUCAGAAAGUUCAGAGUCAUUCAAGCUUGCCAGCCCGAAGUGGAAACAAAGACUAGCCGCCUGAUGGAAAUACAGUGUCCUUUCCGGACCUGGCUUCUGAAAACUUCAACUAACAAAAAUAGAAUGAUGGAUGUGGGAACUCCGAACAGAACUCCUUCUCCUCCCAAGGAACAGCACUUGCAUCCAGCCUGAGUCUGGCUUCUCUUCGCCCUGUUUAAAGGGACUUCCUUGACUCAGGACUUGUUAGGUGAGGAAACAAGUCCCUAAGAAGGGCUUGUAAACCGACACCAAGUCACAAAGCACUGUUCCUUCCAGUGCUUUUUGAGCUGCCACGGUGCUCUGUUGUGAGCUGUGGAGUGGUCUCCUUCCACUGCUGACCCAUGUGAGUGGAGUGUGUCCUCGCUCCCUUUAACCACACACACACCACUCUUCCUACCCCAGCACAAUUUGAGCCUAGCAGCUGAGACACCUUCAGAAAGUCAAAAGUGAAACAGGAUUGAAUGAAAGGAGGUGGGGAGUCUUUCCUUGGUAAGAGUGGCCUGGUGCUUUCUCCAAACACCUGUCCAAACACAAAUAAAUAAUCCCUAGAAUGGCCCCUGGGCCAGGCAGCUCAGCUACCCCUGUCUUUACCACCUAAGGCCAGUCAGCAUCUCCACACUGGCCCUGAGAGGCCUCCACUUGCUCAAGGGGACUCUAUGGUAACCAAACCUAAAGACUCAAAGUGGACCUAGGGGACCACUACCACCACCAGCAGCAGCAGCAGCAGCAGCAAAAGUUUAAACUGCCCAGUUUAAAAAAAAAAAAUCUGUGUUGUGAUUGACUGUUGGGCACUUCUGAGCAUCUUGGUAUAAGGGCUUUGCUGUGGCUAACUGGCUCUGGUUUCUUUAGAGAUGACCUCAAACCUGUGGAUAGCAACAGUGUCAUACAUACAGUUUGACAACUUUAACUGGCUAUGGACACGGUGAAAUAAAUAAUCCCAGAUGGGACCACAGAGAUAUGAUUUCCCAAUUUACUUUUCGAAAUCAGAUAUACAACCUGUCACAGUCAGUGGGGUGAAGGUGAGCAAGGAGAGCUUUUAGGAGAUAGCUGUUCUCUACCAUGCCGGUUAGCAGGCCCCCUUUCCCUGAUGUGACACCCUCAGAAGCAAAGGACAAGAAGAUCCUUCUUGUUCCUUCUGUGGGAAGCCUGGUGUUAGGAGACAUUGAAAACAGAAAAGGAAAAGGAAAAAAAAAAAAGCUUUCUCCCUGCUCUGCAUUUAAGGGAAAUUGAAACUCAAAGGAAAUCAUCAAGAACUUGCUGGGGUGUGGGGGACAGGAUGCACAACAAUAUAGAGUCUAUGCAGAACUAACGAGGCCUUGGCUAGUUCUGGACCAGUCCAAUGCCUUUCUAUGUUUUGUAAAACAUGCCCUUUGAGGUAGGAUACAGAAUCCCAUUCACAAACAGUGAAGCAAACUUGCAGGCAUAUCUGCCACCCUGCGGGCCCCAACCCUAGCCAGCCUCUAAGACAGGACAAUAUGGGAGGAGGGGCUGGGCUCAAUUCAUUUGGGGGCCCUAUAGCAGUCAGGCAAGGAGAAAACUACAGUCCUCUUGUCCUCUCAAUAUCUAUGCCAAAUAUUCCCCAGGAAGCAUUGGGACCCAGAUUCUACCCAGUGGUGGUGGCCCUGUUAUAGAAGGCAGUCAGGAGAUUGAAUGUCCAAGUGCCCCCUUGUACCCAUCCCAUGGGGAGGGAGGAUGUUCAGGAUCGAGUAGAACACAGCCCUUGCCCCUGGGAACUUUCCACCCCCAUGCCUGUGUUAGAUAGAGUGUGACUGUUCAAGUGUUAGACAUUGCUGAUACUUACACCUCAUGGCACUCUCCAUGUUUCCCCAACACUCUAACCAGCAAGGUAGAAGGGAGGCCUGGGAGCAGAGUGUUGGUCCUGCAG